UGGGGAAUUUUCCGCAAUGGGCGAAAGCCUGACGGAGCAACGCCGCGUGAGGGAUGAAGGCCUCUGGGCUGUAAACCUCUUUUAUCAAGGAAGAAGAUCUGACGGUACUUGAUGAAUAAGCCACGGCUAAUUCCGUGCCAGCAGCCGCGGUAAUACGGGAGUGGCAAGCGUUAUCCGGAAUUAUUGGGCGUAAAGCGUCCGCAGGCGGCCCUUCAAGUCUGCUGUUAAAAAGUGGAGCUUAACUCCAUCAUGGCAGUGGAAACUGUUGGGCUUGAGUGUGGUAGGGGCAGAGGGAAUUCCCGGUGUAGCGGUGAAAUGCGUAGAUAUCGGGAAGAACACCAGUGGCGAAGGCGCUCUGCUGGGCCAUCACUGACGCUCAUGGACGAAAGCCAGGGGAGCGAAAGGGAUUAGAUACCCCUGUAGUCCUGGCCGUAAACGAUGAACACUAGGUGUCGGGGGAAUCGACCCCCUCGGUGUCGUAGCCAACGC
rnacentral:rRNA from 1 species